ensembl:snRNA U6 U6 spliceosomal RNA
GUGUUCACUUUGGCAGCACAUAACUGGAAAAAUACAGAGAAGAUUAGCAUGGCCCCUGCACAAGGAUGACACAUAAAUUCAGGAAGUGUUUCAUGUUUUU